rnacentral:misc_RNA from 1 species
GUCUGCGUGCAUUUUGUCUAUUAUCCCUUUGAUUCGUCCUUAUCAGUGGCAAAGCUUGUUGAUGCCGCUUUUGCCUAAUGACAUGCUGGAUUUUCUGGAUGCACCUGUUCCCUAUAUAGUAGGUGUGAAGAAUAAGACCUCUGAGGUUCAGUCAAAGUUAACAAAUGCCAUCCUUGUAGAUGCAAACAAGAACCAGGUGAAGUCACCAACUUUACCACAACUUCCACAGCAAAAGGAGUUAUACUCUUGCUUAAGUCCUUACCAUGCAAAACUGGU